rnacentral:misc_RNA from 1 species
AAGUCGUAACAAGGUUUCCGUAGGUGAACCUGCGGAAGGAUCAUUAACACGUAUCCAACGUUAAACCCCCCGUGCACACAGAGACCAGCUCCCCUCAAUUUCGGUCUUUUGGCAAUCUCUGGUAAAUCAUCGCCGAACAGUUUUGAUUCAGAGACAUCCAAAGGGCCGGGGUAGGGUAUUGAAGUAGUUGUCCCAUGCAAGCAGCCUGGUUUCUUGGAAGCAGAAAGUGUGAUAGAAGAUGUCGGAGAACGGACCGAGUGGUAGUUCGAAGAUGACUUCUGUCGCGCGCUGUGAAAAAGAAGACGCUUUACGAAUCACUGACCAACACGGUUAGUGACCGGGUUCCUGGGUCCUAGACCCCCUGAUCACCCCGACAGUCGCAGACGCGGGUAGGGAUACGUCCUUACCAAAAAAUAAAUACUUGAACAUGGUUCUC